rnacentral:rRNA from 1 species
GACGAACCGUGCGAACGUUAUUCGGAAUCAUUGGGCUUAAAGGGCGCGUAGGCGGCGGUGUAAGUUGGAAGUGAAAUCCCAUCGGCUCAACCGUGGAAUUGCUCCCAGUACUGCAUCGCUCGAGGGGGAUAGGGGUUUGCGGAACGUACCGGUGGAGCGGUGAAAUGCGUAGAUAUCAUUUGGAACGCCAAUGGUGAAAACAACUCGCUGGGGAAGUGCUGACGCUGAGACACGAAAGCCAGGGGAGCGAACGGGG